CCUACGGGCGGCUGCAGUGAGGAAUAUUGGUCAAUGGACGAGAGUCUGAACCAGCCAAGUAGCGUGAAGGAUGACUGCCCUAUGGGUUGUAAACUUCUUUUAUAUGGGAAUAAAAUGUUCCACGUGUGGGAUUUUGUAUGUAACAUAUGAAUAAGGAUCGGCUAACUCCGUGCCAGCAGCCGCGGUAAUACGGAAGGGCCGAGCGUUAUCCGGAUUUUAUGGGUUUAAAGGGAGCGUAGGUGGAUUGUUAUGGCAGUUGUGAAAGUUUGGGGCUCAACCGUAAAAUUGCAGUUGAAACUGGCAGUCUUGAGUACAGUAGAGGUGGGCGGAAUUCGUGGUGUAGCGGUGAAAUGCUUAGAUAUCACGAAGAACUCCGAUUGCGAAGGCAGUUCACUGGACUGCAACUGACACUGAGGCUCGAAAGUGUGGGUAUCAAACAGGAUUAGAUACCCGAGUAGUC
rnacentral:rRNA from 1 species